rnacentral:rRNA from 1 species
UACGUAGGGGGGCAAACGUUGUCCGGAUUUAUUGGGCGUAAAGAGCGUGUAGGCGGCUUGGUAGGUCCGCUGUGAAAACUCGAGGCUCAACCUCGAGAUGUCGGCGGAAACCACUUGGCUAGAGUCCGGAAGAGGAGAGUGGAAUUCCCGGUGUAGCGGUGAAAUGCGCAGAUAUCGGGAAGAACACCUAUGGCGAAGGCAGCUCUCUGGGACGGUACUGACGCUGAGACGCGAAAGCGUGGGGAGCGAACAGG